ensembl:snRNA U6 U6 spliceosomal RNA
AUGCUCGCUUUGGCAGCACAUAUACUAAAACUGGAACAAUACGGAGAUGAGCACGGCCCUUGCACAAGGAUGACAUGCAAAUUCGUUAAGCUUUCCAUAUUUUU